GCGUAGAUAUAUGGAAGAAACACCAGUGGGCGAAGGGCGGCUGUCUGGUCUGUAACUGACGCUGAGGCUCGAAAGUAUGGGUAGCAAACAGGAUUAGAUACCCUGGUAGUCCAUACCGUAAACGAUGAAUGCUAAGUGUUGGAGGGUUUCCGCCCUUCAGUGCUGCAGCUAACGCAUUAAGCAUUCCGCCUGGGGAGUACGGCCGCAAGGCUGAAACUCAAAGGAAUUGACGGGGGCCCGCACAAGCGGUGGAGCAUGUGGUUUAAUUCGAAGCUACGCGAAGAACCUUACCAGGUCUUGACAUACUAUGCAAAUCUAAGAGAUUAGACGUUCCCUUCGGGGACAUGGAUACAGGUGGUGCAUGGUUGUCGUCAGCUCGUGUCGUGAGAUGUUGGGUUAAGUCCCGCAACGAGCGCAACCCUUAUUAUCAGUUGCCAGCAUUAAGUUGGGCACUCUGGUGAGACUGCCGGUGACAAACCGGAGGAAGGUGGGGAUGACGUCAAAUCAUCAUGCCCCUUAUGACCUGGGCUACACACGUGCUACAAUGGAUGGUACAACGAGUUGCGAACUCGCGAGAGUAAGCUAAUCUCUUAAAGCCAUUCUCAGUUCGGAUUGUAGGCUGCAACUCGCCUACAUGAAGUCGGAAUCGCUAGUAAUCGCGGAUCAGCAUGCCGCGGUGAAUACGUUCCCGGGCCUUGUACACACCGCCCGUCACACCAUGAGAGUUUGUAACACCCAAAGUCG
rnacentral:rRNA from 1 species